rnacentral:rRNA from 1 species
UCGCGCGAGCCAAUGGUACUCAGCUGAACACCAAAGGCGCAAAAAACAUAACUUGAACUCGUGUGCGGGAUUACGGGCGAGACUCUCUGCUCGUCCCUCCAUCCCCGGGUGUUAUACCAGGCAUGCCGGGGGGGCGCUCGCGCCUCCUCGGUGCCGUAACAUACCGCGAGUGUGCAGGAUGUGACCCGAAAGAUGGUGAACUAUGCCUGAUCAGGUUGAAGUCAGGGGAAACCCUGAUGGAGGACCGAAGCAGUUCUGACGUGCAAAUCGAUUGUCAGAAUUGGGCAUAGGGGCGAAAGACCAAUCGAACCAUCUAGUAGCUGGUUCCUUCCGAA